rnacentral:lncRNA from 1 species
UGGUAUUUGAAUUUUUAUUCCUCAACAUAAACUUGAAUAAAUUAAAGAUUUUUUACAUAAGUACUGCUAAGCACAAACAUGUAACUUAAUGCUUAGUAAUUCAAAUGUGUGUUUAUAAACCUUCACUACUUUUUAAGUAAACUUAAAAGACUUCCACUAUUAGACUAUAAUCUAUAAAUCAAAUGUUCCAAUUUAACAACAUAUACAAACCAGGUGCUCCGCAGGGCGCAGCUUUACACGAACGCAGUGGUCGAACCUUGAACAGUUGGGGCAAAUUUGGUCACAAUAUUCAAG